AACGCGAAGAACCUUACCUGGGCUCGAAAUGUAGAGGAAGUUGCAAGAAAUUGUAAUGUCCGCAAGGACUUCUAUAUAGGUGCUGCAUGGCUGUCGUCAGCUCGUGCCGUGAGGUGUUUGGUUAAGUCCAGCAACGAGCGCAACCCUUAUCGUUAUUUACCAGCACGUAAUGGUGGGAACUAUAGCGAGACUGCCGAGGUUAACUCGGAGGAAGGUGAGGAUGACGUCAAGUCCGCAUGGCCUUUAUGUCCAGGGCUACACACGUGCUACAAUGGUCGAUACAGAGGGAAGCAAAACCGUGAGGUCAAGCUAAUCCCAGAAAAUCGAUCUCAGUUCAGAUUGCAGUCUGCAACUCGACUGCAUGAAGUUGGAAUUGCUAGUAAUGGCGCGUCAGCAACAGCGCCGUGAAUACGUUCCCGGGCCUUGUACACACCGAGACGUA
rnacentral:rRNA from 1 species